rnacentral:rRNA from 1 species
UGAGGAAUAUUGCGCAAUGGGGGAAACCCUGACGCAGCAACGCCGCGUGAGUGAAGAAGGCUUUCGGGUUGUAAAGCUCUGUCGGGUGGGAAGAAACCUCUUCAGGUGAAUAGUCUGAAGAGCUGACGGUACCACCGAAGGAAGCACCGGCUAACUCCGUGCCAGCAGCCGCGGUAAGACGGAGGGUGCAAGCGUUGUUCGGAAUCACUGGGCGUAAAGCGCGUGUAGGCGGUCUGAGCAGUCGAGUGUGAAAGCCCGAGGCUCAACUUCGGAAGUGCACUCGAAACUGUCAGGAUUGAGUACGGGAGAGGGAAGUGGAAUUCCUGGUGUAGAGGUGAAAUUCGUAGAUAUCAGGAGGAACACCGGUGGCGAAGGCGGCUUCCUGGACCGAUACUGACGCUGAGACGCGAAAGCGUGGGGAGCAAACA